ensembl:lncRNA
CAUGAAUCACACAGGAAUGUAAAACCCAAACCCAAAUGUGGAAAAUCAGAAAUGUCUGAUGUAGCUGAGAGAUGAUGGCUAUGGCUAGCAGUGAGGCAGGGGGCUGAGUGCUGGCUGUGCAUGCAGCAGGUGGACCACUGAGGGAAGCUGCAGGUUCAGCAUGCCUGUCCCGUCCCUCCCUGGAGGGGUGGGCAGGGAGACCCAGCUCCCUGGAGCCACCCCACGUGCCUGGGAAGGCACUGGGCUGGCAGCUUAUCUGGCACUGGACAGCAGUGUAAUCUGCCUGCUCCAGCCCUGGCCCAAUGGCUCUCAGCCACCCUAGCAGUUUGGCAGUGAGAUGAGUGCGUGUAUUGGAGCCUGGGGGUAGCAUAACGCCUUCGGUACCGACUGCACCUCAACGAAAUGAAACUCAUGUCUGGGCUGCUCAGCUGUUCUGGAAGGCUCAGUGCCAUGGCUGUCCCAGUGUGUUUUUGCUCAGGGGGGUGAGGUGCUGCUCAGCUGGGUCAACAUGAGCAUGUGCUGUGCAGAUAUGUAGCUCUCCUGCUAGGCAGUCUGAAGAAUGUGUGGCAAAAAAGAGAAAGCUGAGAAACUCAGAAGCAGAGAGAUGAUGUGACCAGCAAGCAUGGACUUCACAUAAACAGAUGAGUAAUUAAUUAAGAUAAUCUGCUUGUUUUGACCAACUAACAAGUCAAACUUGGCCCACUGUUGUCACACUGUUUUCAUUUUAGCUGCAGUGUUUUCACAAAGUAUUUUCAUUCAGGCCGGAUAAUCCCUUAUGUCUUACUUCCUAGAGCAAGUGGUAGUGCUGAAUUAUAUGCCACGUUGCAGCAGUACAAACCUGAUGUCUGUGUAGCCAGGAAGAGUUGUGGUUAUUUUGUCCUGGAUCGGGCUCCUAUUCAGCCUACACUGCAUUUCAAAUCACCUGAUGCUGCUAUUUUCAUUUAUAAUCAUGUACUUAAUCUUUGGAAUGCCAUUUAGUGAUGAAUUCUGGUAGAUUUCAUAGAAUCAGAGAAUAAUAGAAUGGCCUGGGUUGAAAAGGAUCUCAAAGAUCAUUUAGUUUCAACCCUUUGCCAUGGGCAAGGUCGUCAGCCACUAGACCAGUGUGGGGCAUUUUUCUUCAUAUAUAAUAUUAGAUUAAAACGCAAUAGGCAAUACAUGAGUUACACUGAUAUACAACAGGUUUGUAGGAUUUCAGUUUACGUUCUGAGGGCAUGAUUCAUUUCCUCCUGUGAAACUUGGGCUGUUGGCAGUGAGGGUGUGGAGCUUGCCAGUACAGGCCAAAGAAUAGAUGGAGCUGUCCAGGAAAGAGUUGGGCCACGGGACUGUCCGGAAGAUAUGCUUGAAUCAACUCACAGAUAGUUUGAUCUAUGUCUUGUCUGAAUAUUUUGCACUACUCUUACACCUGUGCUGAUGAAUUCCUGGCCCUAGUAAGCAUUGACUGAAGGACAGUGUCCCUGUGAUGGCAGCUCCUUGCAGGGAAAAGAGCACCAAAAAAGAGGUGCCACUGGAGGCUGAGAGAAGGGCUGUCUCCAUUGCAGCUAACAGUCAUUCAUAACUCUGAUGCACGGAUCCUGCCUGCAGAUGCAUGCUGCCGCUGCAAUGCACCUAUGAAAUUGAGAGCUGACAAUAGUGGAGUCAUGACGACAUAAAUCAAGACCUUUAUAGAUGACACGUUGUCACUUGCAGGUGCAGCUUCCUGCCAAGCAUUGGUAGUCAUCUGCUUCAGUUUUUGUGUCAUCAGCACAAUGGCUUGAGACAUGACUAGGAGCUCCAAGAGCAAAAGAAAUCACACUGUUCUUGAAAUGAUCAGCUGAAGUGGGAAAAAGGGAAAGAGAUCAGGUAUCCUCAUUUUCUUUUCAACCACGAUGGAAGUUGAUUUGGAAAUGUUCCUUGCUGAAACUGAAGUUGUAUUUCCAGUAGUUGGGAGGAGCUCCCAGAUUACAUUACCCCACCCACGUCUGGUUGCUUUCGGUUUACCUGGGGAAACUGUACAAGGAAACUGAAGUAGAAAAAGAGGACAGCAGCAAAAGGAAGAGCACAGAGAACCUAUCUAAAAAGAUAAAAAAUUAAAGUAGUGCCUCAAACAGGUACGCCCUCAUUUCGAGUUAUGUUCAGCAGAUAAUGAGUGGCUAGCCGUCUGUUUACUGGGCAUGGCAUACUGUGUGUAUUCAUAAAUCUCAUUUAGAGCAGAUCACAUCACCAAUUUGUUCACCCCUUGAUAAAACAGUGAGUCACAUCCUCACCUAUUGACCACUGUCAAAGUUCCACUGGCUUCAGGGAGAAGAGUCUCAACUGAAGGAUCCAGUCUGCAGCAUAGAGAAGCAUUCUUUGAAUGCUGAGUUUGAUAUGGCCUCCUUUUGACCAGCUUGUUAGGAGUGCCAUAUGCAUUCAGUCAACUUUCUUGUAACAAUAACAGUUAUCUUCUGGUUUAGAGAUAGUUCUGCUAUCUCGAAGAGGACCUGCAAAUGGAUAAUGACAGAUGCACA